rnacentral:tRNA from 1 species
GGGCCCGUAGCUCAGCCAGGACAGAGCAGUGGGCUCUUAACCCAUUGGUCGCGGGUUCGAAUCCCGCCGGGCCCGCCA